rnacentral:rRNA from 1 species
UAGAGUUUGAUCCUGGCUCAGAACGAACGCUGGCGGCAGGCUUAACACAUGCAAGUCGAACGCACCUUUCGGGGUGAGUGGCAGACGGGUGAGUAACGCGUGGGAACGUGCCCUUCAGUUCGGAAUAACCCAGGGAAACUUGGGUUAAUACCGGAUACGUGCGAGAGCAGAAAGAUUUAUCGCUGAAGGAUCGGCCCGCGUCUGAUUAGCUGGUUGGUGAGGUAAUGGCUCACCAAGGCGACGAUCAGUAGCUGGUCUGAGAGGAUGAUCAGCCACAUUGGGACUGAGACGCGGCCCAAACUCCUACGGGAGGCAGCAGUGGGGAAUAUUGGACAAUGGGCGCAAGCCUGAUCCAGCCAUGCCGCGUGAGUGAUGAAGGCCUUAGGGUUGUAAAGCUCUUUCGUCCGGGACGAUAAUGACGGUACCGGAAGAAGAAGCCCCGGCUAACUUCGUGCCAGCAGCCGCGGUAAUACGAAGGGGGCUAGCGUUGUUCGGAAUCACUGGGCGUAAAAGGCGCGUAGGCGGCUUUAUAAGUCGGGGGUGAAAGCCUGUGGCUCAACCACAGAAUUGCCUUCGAUACUGUAGAGCUUGAGACCGGAAGAGGUUAGUGGAACUGCGAGUGUAGAGGUGAAAUUCGUAGAUAUUCGCAAGAACACCAGUGGCGAAGGCGGCUGACUGGUCCGGAUCUGACGCUGAGGCGCGAAAGCGUGGGGAGCAAACAGGAUUAGAUACCCUGGUAGUCCACGCCGUAACGAUGAAUGCCAGCCGUUGGGCAGCUUGCUGCUCAGUGGCGCAGCUAACGCUUUAAGCAUUCCGCCUGGGGAGUACGGU